CACAUGCGUGGCCCACAACCACACCCUGAUGGUGACCCCAGCAUCGGGGCAGCACCAGGACAGUAACGACCACAUGUGUGGAGCUAGGUGGCUGCUGGGCCCUGCCCCAAGUCUCCCUGUGUGCCUUUCCUCCUGAGGGGGUCUCUGGUCCCCACCACCCACUGCAACCAACUGUAGGUUGCUGCUGCGCUGGAGGAAGCUUCUCUCUUCACACUCUAGACUCAGUUUAAAAAUAAAGAAAAAUAAAACCGGUUCAAAAUUAGCACAAGACUCGCUACAAAGAACACAAGACACAGUUUCCUGUGUGUGUGUUUUUUUUCGUCAGUUUUUUUUAAGACUUCCAGAAAAGUUUCCUCUGCAAAACUGAGACCAAAAGGGUAAAAAACAUGCAAAUAUGCUGGUCCAGCCUUGAACCAUCCUCUGUACCCAGUCCAGGGUUGCCAUAGAGACUCAGGAGAGAGAGAGCCAAGUCCCCCAAAGUUUCAAAAGCUCUGAAAGGGAGCUCCCUAGAACUGUGUGUGGUCACUGUCACUCUGGGCUCCCAUCGACCAGGGGCACCUCCUUUGACCCUGUGUCCUGAGCCUGACACCAUGCUUGGCUUGAUGGAUGGGCAGGUGGAGGGGUGAUGGAGGAUGGAUGGAGGAUGGUCUACAGAACCAGCCUGAGAGGAAAUGUAGCCAGACGCUUGUCCCUUCAGAUCUGGACUCACACGGAUGCACACCUAGUGGUGAACCCCCGUUCCCGUACUGUCACCGAGGGACAGAACUGCUAAUCCAAGCAGCACCCCUACCCCCAGCCCCACCAGGCUAAGAGAGUGCAAGCCGUCUGAGCAUGCAGGGCCCUGCGUGAGACUGGAGGCAGGAGAGCGUGGUGAACUGAACCAAAGCGAGUUCUCAGGUGAGGCAGGACUCUGAAACCUGGCCUGGGGAAGGGGCAGCAGCGUCUGUGGGGUUCAAGAAGACAGGCCCAGACAAGCAUGUAGAACAGCAGGGGAGGUGGGAGUCCUCUCAACAGAAAAGGAAGACUUCACGCCAGACCCCCCUGCAACAGAACAGACAGCUCGGUAUGAAGGAGUGAGCUCCUCAUGGCUUCAAGUAUCCAAGCCAGGAAUGGUGAACGGGGGUGGAUUAAAGUGACCUUC
rnacentral:lncRNA from 1 species